rnacentral:rRNA from 2 species
CAAACGACUCUCGGCAACGGAUAUCUCGGCUCACGCAUCGAUGAAGAACGCAGCAAAAUGCGAUACUUGGUGUGAAUUGCAGAAUCCCGUGAACCAUCGAGUUUUUGAACGCAAGUUGCGCCCGAAGCCAUUCGGUUGAGGGCACGUCUGCCUGGGCGUCACGC